rnacentral:rRNA from 1 species
ACGAACGCUGGCGGCGUGCUUAACACAUGCAAGUCGAACGGUGAAGCGCCUUCCUUUUUGGUGGGUGUGGAUGAGUGGCGAACGGGUGAGUAACACGUGAGUAACCUGCCCCCUUCUUCUGGAUAACCGCAUGAAAGUGUGGCUAAUACGGGAUAUUCUGGGUCUGUCGCAUGAUGGGUCUGGGAAAGAUAUUGUUUCGGUGGGGGAUGGGCUCGCGGCCUAUCAGCUUGUUGGUGGGGUGAUGGCCUACCAAGGCGGUGACGGGUAGCCGGCCUGAGAGGGUGGACGGUCACACUGGGACUGAGACACGGCCCAGACUCCUACGGGAGGCAGCAGUGGGGAAUAUUGCACAAUGGGCGCAAGCCUGAUGCAGCGACGCCGCGUGAGGGAUGAGGCCUUCGGGUUGUGAACCUCUUUCGCCAGUGAAGCAGGCCUGCCUCGUUUGUGGGUGGGUUGACGGUAGCUGGAGAAGAAGCGCCGGCUAACUACGUG